UACGAAGGGGGCUAGCGUUGUUCGGAAUUACUGGGCGUAAAGCGCACGUAGGCGGAUUGUUAAGUCAGGGGUGAAAUCCCGGGGCUCAACCUCGGAACUGCCUUUGAUACUGGCAAUCUCGAGUCCGGAAGAGGUGGGUGGAAUUCCUAGUGUAGAGGUGAAAUUCGUAGAUAUUAGGAAGAACACCAGUGGCGAAGGCGGCCCACUGGUCCGGUACUGACGCUGAGGUGCGAAAGCGUGGGGGGCAAACAGG
rnacentral:rRNA from 1 species